rnacentral:rRNA from 1 species
CCCAGACUCCUACGGGAGGCAGCAGUGGGGAAUAUUGGACAAUGGGGGGAAACCCUGAUGCAGCAACGCCGCGUGAGUGAGGAAGUAUUUCGGUAUGUAAAGCUCUAUCAGCAGGGAAUAGAAAAGAAGGUACCUGAAAAAGAAGCCCCGGCUAACUACGUGCCAGCAGCCGCGGUAAUACGUAGGGGGCAAGCGUUAUCCGGAUUUACUGGGUGUAAAGGGAGCGUAGACGGCGAAGAAAGUCUGAAGUGAAAGCCCGCGGCUUAACCGCGGAACUGCUUUGGAAACUUUUUUGCUGGAGUACCGGAGAGGUAAGCGGAAUUCCUAGUGUAGCGGUGAAAUGCGUAGAUAUUAGGAGGAACACCAGUGGCGAAGGCGGCUUACUGGACGGUAACUGACGUUGAGGCUCGAAAGCGUGGGGAGCAAACAGGAUUAGAUACCCUCGUACUC